GAACCUAUAUUUAUAAUGUCUAAGAGGUCCCUAUUCAUGCUUAUUUAAGGGAGUUUUUAGACCACAUGUAAAGGAUUGAUUAAUAUUAAAUUUGAGAGACAUCAUUGUGUGCAUUUGUGAGCUUUGUUUUGUAAGAGUGUUCUAGUCUUAGCAUUAUUUAGAACCUUGGUUCAAGUGGCUACAAGAACCACUUAUCUUGGGUGGCCUAGUAUGCCAAGUGGUGUGCCUUCCUUUCUCUUCCUUUCCCC
rnacentral:lncRNA from 1 species